AUUGAACGCUGGCGGCAGGCCUAACACAUGCAAGUCGAACGGUAACAGGAAGAAGCUUGCUUCUUUGCUGACGAGUGGCGGACGGGUGAGUAAUGUCUGGGAAACUGCCUGAUGGAGGGGGAUAACUACUGGAAACGGUAGCUAAUACCGCAUAACGUCGCAAGACCAAAGAGGGGGACCUUCGGGCCUCUUGCCAUCGGAUGUGCCCAGAUGGGAUUAGCUAGUAGGUGGGGUAACGGCUCACCUAGGCGACGAUCCCUAGCUGGUCUGAGAGGAUGACCAGCCACACUGGAACUGAGACACGGUCCAGACUCCUACGGGAGGCAGCAGUGGGGAAUAUUGCACAAUGGGCGCAAGCCUGAUGCAGCCAUGCCGCGUGUAUGAAGAAGGCCUUCGGGUUGUAAAGUACUUUCAGCGGGGAGGAAGGGAGUAAAGUUAAUACCUUUGCUCAUUGACGUUACCCGCAGAAGAAGCACCGGCUAACUCCGUGCCAGCAGCCGCGGUAAUACGGAGGGUGCAAGCGUUAAUCGGAAUUACUGGGCGUAAAGCGCACGCAGGCGGUUUGUUAAGUCAGAUGUGAAAUCCCCGGGCUCAACCUGGGAACUGCAUCUGAUACUGG
rnacentral:rRNA from 1 species